rnacentral:rRNA from 1 species
GACGUAGGGCGCGAGCGUUGUCCGGAUUUAUUGGGCGUAAAGAGCUCGUAGGCGGCUUGUCGCGUCGACCGUGAAAACUUGGGGCUCAACCCCAAGCCUGCGGUCGAUACGGGCAGGCUCGAGUUCGGUAGGGGAGACUGGAAUUCCUGGUGUAGCGGUGAAAUGCGCAGAUAUCAGGAGGAACACCGAUGGCGAAGGCAGGUCUCUGGGCCGAUACUGACGCUGAGGAGCGAAAGCAUGGGGGAGCGAACAGG